rnacentral:rRNA from 1 species
CUGAGUACGGCGGAACACGUGAAAUUCCGUCGGAAUCCGGGAGGACCAUCUCCCAAGGCUAAAUACUCCCUAGUGACCGAUAGUGAACCAGUACCGUGAGGGAAAGGUGAAAAGCACCCCGGAAGGGGAGUGAAACAGUUCCUGAAACCGUGUGCCUACAAGUAGUUAGAGCCCGUUAAUGGGUGAUAGCGUGCCUUUUGUAGAAUGAACCGGCGAGUUACGAUUUGUUGCAAGGUUAAGCGGAAAAAGCGGAGCCGUAGCGAAAGCGAGUCUGAAUAGGGCGCAUAAGUAACAGGUCGUAGACCCGAAACCAGGUGAUCUACCCAUGUCCAGGAUGAAGGUAAGGUAAUACUUACUGGAGGUCCGAACCCACGCACGUUGAAAAGUGCGGGGAUGAGGUGUGGGUAGCGGAGAAAUUCCAAUCGAACUUGGAGAUAGCUGGUUCUCUCCGAAAUAGCUUUAGGGCUAGCCUCGAGGUAAAGAGUCAUGGAGGUAGAGCACUGUUUGGACUAGGGGCCCUUCUCGGGUUACCGAAUUCAGAUAAACUCCGAAUGCCAUGUACUUAUACUCGGGAGUCAGACUGCGAGUGAUAAGAUCCGUAGUCGAAAGGGAAACAGCCCAGACCACCAGUUAAGGUCCCCAAAUAUAUGUUAAGUGGAAAAGGAUGUGGGGUUGCUUAGACAACCAGGAUGUUGGCUUAGAAGCAGCCACCAUUGAAAGAGUGCGUAAUAGCUCACUGGUCGAGUGACCCCGCGCCGAAAAUGUACCGGGGCUAAACAUAUUACCGAAACUGUGGAUGAACCUCUUUAGAGGUUCGUGGUAGGAGAGCGUUCUAAGGGCGGUGAAGUCAGACCGGAAGGACUGGUGGAGCGCUUAGAAGUGAGAAUGCCGGUAUGAGUAGCGAAAGAAGGGUGAGAAUCCCUUCCACCGAAUAUCUAAGGUUUCCUGAGGAAGGCUCGUCCGCUCAGGGUUAGUCGGGACCUAAGCCGAGGCCGAUAGGCGUAGGCGAUGGACAACAGGUAGAGAUUCCUGUACCAGUGCUAAUUGUUUAACCGAUGG